UGCCGCGAUCUAGAGCGCGACCUACUUCGAUGCUGUUUCGUCGAAGGAGUUUCUCUCUGGAGAGGAUAUGGAGGAGGAGCCAAUUGAGGGGUAACGGUAGGGAGUCUUACCAUCGUAUCAACCCUCCUGCCACCGUCGCCAGCCCUAGGGGCCGUCGCUGCCAUGUUUGAUCCCUCUUCUGGUCGCCGCUAUAGAAUCGUCUCCAUAGGGAAAAGCCACCGUCGCAGUAUAUCAGAUCGCCGCUACAGUACCGUCGC
rnacentral:lncRNA from 1 species